GUGUCAGCCCGUUGUGUUCACCUAGUAGUAAAAGACUCAACCUCUGCUCUAAUGCAGUUUGUUUUUUUUCCCCUGUUCUACAGAUCUUGCCCAGUCGGGGUUCUCAUGGAGUAACCUGCGCCUGCUUAUCCCCGAGUCGUGUCUUAAGGAGAGUGGAAACCCAGAAACGCGACGCCUUCAGACUCAUGGUCCUUGCUCUCUACCUCCAAGCCCAUCCUCUCAAGUAGAACCAUCGGACCCAACUCAGAGGAAUAUACACCUGCCUGUCCACCCUCCAUCGUUCGCCUCAAGUCGCAGCGGAGUUUUUUCCCCGCGGAAGAAAGGACAGUUUUCUAACUGGAGAUCACAGGAACUAGUCGGCUCACUGCCUGCCAACCACAGAUGCUGUGGGGAAGGACUUAUUCCCCCUACCUCCUUACCCAGCCUCUCACUCAAUAACUCCAGUAUUGACCCGCUUACCCAGUUCCUGGUUCCCGUUCAUCCUAGCAUCUACUGUUUGAAAAUAAACUGUUUCAAAACUU